GAUGAACGCUGGCGGCGUGCCUAAUACAUGCAAGUCGAGCGGCGGCGGGCUCACAGUGCUUUGGUUCUUUUGAACGAAGGUAAUGUGAGCGCCGGCGAGCGGCGGACGGCUGAGUAACGCGUGGGAACAUGCCCCAAAGUGAGGGAUAAGCACCGGAAACGGUGUCUAAUACCGCAUAUGGUCUUCGGAUUAAAGCUUUA
rnacentral:rRNA from 1 species